rnacentral:rRNA from 1 species
GACGAACGCUGGCGGCGUGCUUAACACAUGCAAGUCGAACGCUGAAGCUCAGCUUUUGUUGGGUGGAUGAGUGGCGAACGGGUGAGUAACACGUGAGUAACCUGCCUCCUUCUUUGGGAUAACGCCCGGAAACGGGUGCUAAUACUGGAUAUUCACUGGUCUUCGCAUGGGGGUUGGUGGAAAGGGUUUUUCUGGUGGGGGAUGGGCUCGCGGCCUAUCAGCUUGUUGGUGGGGUGAUGGCCUACCAAGGCUUUGACGGGUAGCCGGCCUGAGAGGGUGACCGGUCACAUUGGGACUGAGAUACGGCCCAGACUCCUACGGGAGGCAGCAGUGGGGGAUAUUGCACAAUGGGCGCAAGCCUGAUGCAGCGACGCCGCGUGAGGGAUGGAGGCCUUCGGGUUGUGAACCUCUUUCGCUCAUGGUCAAGCCGCAACAAUGGUUGUGGUGAGGGUAGUGGGUAAAGAAGCGCCGGCUAACUACGUG